CCUACGGGGGGCUGCAGUGAGGAAUAUUGGUCAAUGGGCGGGAGCCUGAACCAGCCAAGUCGCGUGAGUGAAGAAGUAUCUCGGUAUGUAAAGCUCUAUCAGCAGAGAAGAUAAUGACGGUAUCUAACGAAUAAGCACCGGCUAACUCCGUGCCAGCAGCCGCGGUAAUACGGAGGGUGCAAGCGUUACUCGGAAUCACUGGGCGUAAAGAGCGCGUAGGCGGGAUAGCAAGUCAGAUGUGAAAUCCUAUGGCUUAACCAUAGAACUGCAUUUGAAACUGUUAUUCUAGAGUAUGGGAGAGGUAGGUGGAAUUCUUGGUGUAGGGGUAAAAUCCGUAGAGAUCAAGAGGAAUACUCAUUGCGAAGGCGACCUGCUAGAACAUAACUGACGCUGAUGCGCGAAAGCGUGGGGAGCAAACAGGAUUAGAUACCCGAGUAGUC
rnacentral:rRNA from 1 species